GAUGAAUGCUGGCGGCGUGCCUAACACAUGCAAGUCGAGCGGCAGCGAGGGGUGCUUGCACCCUGUCGGCGAGCGGCGAACGGCUGAGUAACGCGUAGGAAUUUGCCCCAAAGUGAGGAACAACUGCCCGAAAGGGUAGCUAAUGCCGCAUAUGGUCUUCGGAUUAAAGGAUUUAUCCGCUUUGGGAGAAGCCUGCGUUGGAUUAGGUUGUUGGUAGGGUAAUGGCCUACCAAGCCGACGAUCCAUAGCUGGUCUGAGAGGAUGAUCAGCCAGACUGGAACUGAGACACGGUCCAGACUCCUACGGGAGGCAGCAGUGAGGAAUCUUCCACAAUGGGCGAAAGCCUGAUGGAGCAACGCCGCGUGAAGGAUGAAGGCCUUCGGGUUGUAAACUUCUUUUAUGAGUGAAGAAUAUGACGGUAACUCAUGAAUAAGCACCGGCUAACUACGUG
rnacentral:rRNA from 1 species